CUCCUUUCGAAARAUAUGUAAGGUAGGCCCUGCCCACUGUUUUACGGAAUAAAGGGACUCGGUAAUGUGGGUUAAAGUAGCAUAAUAAUUUGCCUUUUAAAAGGAGGCUGGAAUGAAUGGGUUGACGUGCGAAGAUUGUGUCAAGAUUAAGGAAUUGAAGUUUAUUUGCACGUGAAGAAGCGCCCAUAAUUUAGGAGGACGGAAAGACCCUAGAAGCUUUAAUAAAAGGGUGAGAAAAGUUCUUGUUUGUUUUUUUUGUUGGGGCAACAACGCGUAAAUAUCGUGGAGCUUUUUUUUACUCACAGGUUUGGAAUCUAUUAGUAAGGAGAAUGUCAAGUUACUCUAGGGAUAACAGCACAAUAUUCUUUGAUAGUCCAUAUUGGUGAGAGUGUUUGUGACCUCGAUGUUGGCUUGUGAUAUCCUUUAGGUGUAGGAGCUUAUUAUGGUUGGUCUGUUCGCCCAUUAAAAUC
rnacentral:rRNA from 1 species